AAGUCGUAACAAGGUUUCCGUAGGUGAACCUGCGGAAGGAUCAUUACCAAAUUUUCCCACAAUCUUGCAAAACACCAUGUGUGAACAGGAUGAAAUUAGCUCAUUUGGCUGGCGUGCGUCGUGAAAACGGGGUACGCGGCCAGAUGUGUUUAACCCCAAUGUCAACCUUUGCAUCUCUUUUUUUAUCAUGUUGAUCUCCUCAUCGCAAGGUGGGAUGGAUCGAUUACAAAAACUAAAAAACAACUUUUAACGGUGGAUCUCUUGGCUCGC
rnacentral:misc_RNA from 1 species